rnacentral:lncRNA from 1 species
AUUUAUCUAAUAAAUUCAAUUAAGAAUUUAAGAAUUUUUUCGAAAUUUUCUGAAACUAUCAAAACAAAAAAAAUAUCAGAAAAAAGAGAAAAAUAAGGAAUUUCAGAUUUUUAGGAGGGCGUCCACUAUUUAGUCUCUAAAUCAAGGUUUUCGAUCCUUGAUUUUUUUCUAAUGAAUCGACAAAGACUUGGAAUAAUCUAAGAUGACUUUCUUAAAAAUAGAUUUUUUUAAUGCUAAAACGCGA